GUAUUGAAGCUUCGGUGGAUUUACUGGACGUCGAGCGGCGGAGGGUGAGUAACGGCUGGGAACCUGCCCUGACGAGGGGGAUAACCGUUGGAAACGACGGCUAAUACCGCAUAAUGUCUUGAUUCGUUAGAGUCAGGACCAAAGGUGGCCUCUACAUGUAAGCUAUCGCGUUGGGAUGGGCCCAGUUAGGAUUAGCUAGUUUGUAAGGUAAUGGCUUACCAAGGCAACGAUUCUUAGCUGGUUUGAGAGGAUGAUCAGCCACACUGGGACUGAGACACGGCCCAGACUCCUACGGGAGGCAGCAGUGGGGAAUAUUGCACAAUGGGGGAGACCCUGAUGCAGCCAUGCCGCGUGUGUGAAGAAGGCCUUCGGGUUGUAAAGCACUUUCAGCAGUGAGGAAGGUCGUGUACUUAAUACGUGCACGGCUUGACGUUAGCUGCAGAAGAAGCACCGGCUAACUCCGUGCCAGCAGCCGCGGUAAUACGGAGGGUGCGAGCGUUAAUCGGAAUUACUGGGCGUAAAGCGCAUGCAGGCGGUUUGUUAAGUCAGAUGUGAAAGCCCGGGGCUCAACCUCGGAACCGCAUUUGAAACUGGCAGGCUAGAGUCUUGUAGAGGGGGGUAGAAUUUCAGGUGUAGCGGUGAAAUGCGUAGAGAUCUGAAGGAAUACCAGUGGCGAAGGCGGCCCCCUGGACAAAGACUGACGCUCAGAUGCGAAAGCGUGGGUAGCAAACCAGGAUUAGAUACCCUGGUAGUCCACGCCGUAAACGCUGUCUACUUGGAGGUUGAGGUUUUAGACUUUGGCUUUCG
rnacentral:rRNA from 1 species